UGUAAGGGCAGCGAUUUUUGUCUGCUUUAUUCAUUUAGGUAUCCUGGCAUAUGCUGAUACUUAAUAAAUAUUUAUUGAAGAAGUGAAAGUGGGCCAAAAAAAUGUUCUUCAGUGGGGAGUAAAAGCAAACCUACAAGCGUAAAAGGGCCCGAGGUACAGCCACUCCCCUUGCAUCAGCUCCAGCCACAUGAUGGUUGCAGAGAGCCAAGCCUACUACAUGCCCCCUGAG
ensembl:lincRNA